UAACGCGUGAGUAACCUGCCUCUAAGAGGGGAAUAACAUUCUGAAAAGAAUGCUAAUACCGCAUAACAUAUAUUUAUCGCAUGGUAGAUAUAUCAAAGAUUUAUCGCUUAGAGAUGGACUCGCGUCCGAUUAGUUAGUUGGUGAGGUAACGGCUCACCAAGACUGCGAUCGGUAGCCGGACUGAGAGGUUGAACGGCCACAUUGGGACUGAGACACGGCCCAG
rnacentral:rRNA from 1 species